AAAGAAACGAUAGAGUAGAAUGCAUAGAAUCUUGUUUUAUUUGUAGACCAUCCAAAGAUUAAUACUAAAUCUGUAUAUUAAUACUACUACUAAUAAUAAUUAUUAUAACAAAUUAUUUAAUGUAUAUAAUAGAAUUAUAUACACUGUAAUUAAAUACAGAAAUAUAGCCCACUUAUUUUAAAUGUGCACAUUAGGCUGCUUAUGAAUUUAAUAUGACAAUCACACUCAUGGUCUCCAAAAGAUUACAUAUAAAAGGUGCAAGAUUUAUUGUUAGACUCUUUAAUGCACAUGAACUUCAACAAAUAAGGCCAUGGGUAAUUAGUGAUGCUUGCUAUGCAAAGCAUCACUAUUAUAAUUGCCCAUACUUAUUUUUCUACUUCCGGACACUUUUCAGCGGCUAGUCCCACACGGUUUGCGUCACCGUCACUAAACACUGGGAGAGGUGUGUUACUACUUUUCACUUCUCGCGCAUGUAACCAAAAACGCACGAUUUCGCCCCCUAGAGAAUGAAUGGGGAAUAAAACUCAAGGUGUCACGCUGACAUGCUCGUAUCACAUAUCCUUUUGUAAGUGUUAGGGAGCACACCUGGCAUAUACACACUGCGUUUCUGAAUGUGUGCCGGAAAUGUUCGGAACAUGCUGUUAUUCCGGGACCAUCGAAAAUAAAGGGAAAUUUUGGAGCUCGCCUAACUCCCACAGCAUCAGUGACACAGACAUGAAUGAAUGUUUGGCUUAGUCCAGACGAUCAGGAAAUUCCUUUGGGAAUGGAUCCCAUGUGGAUGUUGCAGGGAAUUACACACUAAUGUAAAAUGAGUCUAGAGAUCAAACAGCCGAACCGAGACACGGGCUGCGUCCGGAACCGCACACUUACCUACUGCACAGUAGGCGAAAAGCAGUACACCAGAGGGGUAGUAUGUCCGAAUUCUCAGUAGGCGAGAAAUACCCGGAUGGUGUACUGCUUCCGGCUAGAUUUUGUAGUAUGCAACUGAUGACCUGCGUGAAGUUGACCCCCACCCAACGCAAAACGUCGGCAAAAUAGUCUGAAUCAUUUGUGCUCCGUUUGUGCCGAUGAAAGUUCCGUUUGAGCUGCUUCAGUUUUUUAAAUAUUAGAUAUUAAAUUAUAGGCGAUGACGUCACCAACCCCCACACGCUCCAAAUUCACCCCCAAAUAGUCUCAAUCGUUUGUGCUAAUAAGAGCUUCAUUUUUGCGACUGUCUUUCUUUUUUUUAACAAUACAGUUGAAGAAACAAAGUAACAUCCAAAUGGCAAAACAAAUCACAUUAAAUAGUCGUAUUCACUUAAUUGUUAACUAUCUACUGUUCGUUUUCAACUUUUAAGGGACACAGCGGAGCACAGGAUGUGUGAAAUGUAACACGAACUCCAAGACAUUCCUGUCACUCCACUUCUCAGGUCUUCAUACAUCUCCCAGACACAUGGAGACCUCCUGCAGUAGGCCACAUAAUGCCCAAGAGCAUCCUGGGUAAAGCCUCCUCUGAAAGCAAUGACUGCCCUUAGAGUAAAUCUCUCUCCUUGGAGCAUCAGAUUGGAGGGAAUUUCACAGGUGCUUCCCAGGUCAGUGUCCAUAAACAGAAGUUCUACCAGACUGUAACUGUGAGAAACAUUCCUUGCACAGAGCACUUUUCCUGAGGUAGAGUCUGUCUUGAAUUCAGAGGGACAGUGUGACGGACUUUGGAUUGGCCUCAGGCAGGGGGACUCCGGAAGGUUAAGGCCUUCUUCCACUGCCGUCUGAAGGUGAGCCAUGCUAGAAGCCUGCAGUACAGCAACAGAAGUACAAACAAAUGGAAUUUCCCUUGUGACAUCUGUGCUGACCCUGCAAUACUGUGAGGAGCACUGUUGUGUGAAGGAAACACAUGCACGUUGUGUCAUUGACUUUUCAAUGAUCAUGGAGAUGUGGCACUGGCAUCGAUUUGGAGAGCACCAGAUUUCAAUUGGACAGCUUUGAAUAUUCCACUCAGCAGCUCUGCCCUCUGUAUGUAGACCUGUGCAUUCAGACCCUUUGUGGUGAUUGUUUUCACUAGCUGGAGGAGGUUGUUGGGGUCCUCAAACAAUAUUUCCAAAAGUGACACUUUUGCAUAAAGCACAACAUGAGCAUUGACAAAAAAAGCAUCAAAUGCACGUGUUCAUCACAGAGAUUAUUGAUUUCCUGAGUUUAACAGGAUGUUAUUUCCAUUUUUCAACAGUUCUGCUUUCAGUCUUUUCCCCCUCAUGGAUGGAUCUGCAUGGAGCCAUUCAGGACAAGGAGAGGGGUAUGACUUCAUUUCCCUCUUUAUUUUGGGUGGAACUGCUAAGCCUCUCCAGUUUUCUACAGCGGAUGGAUGUUUGUGACCUUGUCAGACUUCCCAGAACAGGAAGCAUCCAUUUCUUGUUUUCUGUCUACACUGCAAGUUGUGGUGGGUAGUGGAUUGGCUCCUGUGAUUAUCACUGUUGUGACAGCUGCAUCUUCUUCACCUUCUUCACUUUUUUGUUUUGCAUAACAAAUUCACAUAUUAACCCUCAAUUAAGGACACAUGUCACACAAUGAAUCGAUCCACCCGAAUAGGCAAGUUUUCAUGCUUGAAAAGCCUGUGGUUGAUGUUUUUGAACUCUGCUUCAACAUUGGCUGAACUUGCGAGGGAGGGAUCAUUACCCCUGUCCAGAGUGGUCCCCACCCUCGACAUCUGGAAUGAUUACACACUCUUCUGCAAUUCGGGCUUUCAGCAGUCCCACUGGCAGAUCAUCUUGAUGCACUGUGCAACAUCAACCCGAACAAAACAAGGUGGCACUUUUGCUGACUCUUUACUGAGUGAGACACCACAACACUCAUUGAUGUAGGUCUUCAGAUCAGGACGAGGAGUAAAAGCCUUGACCAUAGCUCCCAGCAAAGCCAGAGAAAAGUUACACACAACCUCUUUUGGAAUUGGUACACCUGCACGUAUCCAUUCUGUCAGCCAAUGUGUUAUUGCAUUAACAUCGUGUCUCUCUGACUGCAUUUGCACCACUGGGACACUUGAACUCACAUCCCUGCCAGAACACUCUGAUAUAAGAUAUGGCCAGACAUGCCAUUUGGUCUCAGUAGUUUCCUCACUACUGAGUCAGUUGCAUCAAAACUCACAGUGGGGGUGGCCAAAUUAGGCAGAUGGAUUGGCUCAGGAUCUCCAAAAUCCAUCAGCUUUGUUGCCUCUGAUGCCCUCCAUACAUGGAGUUGCAUUCUGCUCUCACACAGUUCUUUGGCUGUCUGCACAUGCAAGUUACCAGACAUCGCAUGCUUGGAACAGCCAGUGUGCAGGGAGUCAUUAGUGUUUUUAAUUAAACACUUGAGCACCAUUGGGCUGUUCAUUUCACACUGUCAAAUUUUAUGUGAAUGUGGCCAAGGCAUUCCUUACAGUUGCCUCUGAUUUCUAUGAAUUUCUCUGUGGCUGAUUGAUAGACCUUGGCUCUUUUAAAGGCUAAUGUGCAGGGGCUUUUCACUUCUUGCCAAAUGUGAUUAUUUAUCACAUGUGUCCAGAUGCCAGGCUUCAAAGUUGUGUAUUCCCUUUUUUGUGUUUUAGAGAACUUGUUUUUGUAUUGAACUGUUUCAGGCCUAAAUUCAAUCCAUUUUUGAAAUGGAACUUCAACAUCAAAAAGUCCAGCAGUCUUUUGGUCUGGGGGAAAAGGGACCCUGGCUCAAAAUCAGUGUCAUCAUUACUGCCACUUGUUUCAUGAUCACUUUCAUAAAUAAACCCUAAAGCAGUCCAGAUGUUGUGUCUGUUCAAUUUAACAAACGUAUAUAGAGCCUUUGCAGUGAGCUUGUUUUUUUUGCUGCUCACUAAGCUCUGUCCAGAUGCUCUGAUUAGGAGUAGCUAUGUUGUCAUUUUGGACUAUGGCCUCUUUUGAUGAACAGAGGACUGUGAAAAUGGACUCCCUGAUGAAUGCUGGUUUCUUGGGCAUCUACCCACUGAAAUAAUGUAUUUUAAUCAUGUACAUUAUGUAUGUAUAUUAAUCAUGUAUUACUGUAUUUGCCUGAAUACAAGGAAAAUGUAAUAUAGUAUUAAUAUAUUAGGUUAUUAUAUCUUAUAUUAGGACCAAUAUGGUAAUGUUGACCCCUAGAUGCAUAACCUAUUCAAAAAAACUAAUAAGGGUACCAUGUACAGCUGUAAUUAGCAUUUCAUAGCUCAAUUAGCCAUAUUAGUAUUAGCAAGGAGUUUUCUGUUCAAUAAACAUUGACAAUCUUAGCUCUCUUGAAUGUUGUACCAUUUGGUGUGUAUAUGUUUAAAAUUGUAGUAUGUUGUUCAAAUAUUGUACCAGUGACCAGAAUGUAUCUACCUUCAGGGUCCUGUUCCUGGUAUUCCAGAACAAGUGGGAUAUUUUUGUGUAUUAGUAUAGUGGUGCCUAUCCUAUUUGAACUGUAUGAGGAGGA
ensembl:lncRNA